GUUUGCCUCCGUGCUGCUGCUGCUGCACGGCCGACUGAUGGAUGUUGUGCAGGUGGUGAUGUCCAGCCACUUUACCGGACAUUAAAUGUUGGUGAUGGUGACCUGUCAAAAUGGAUACCAAGUUGCUGAACCCAAUGGGGAUCAAACCCCUCCCUUUUGGUUCUGGAUCCUCUUCCACCUAUCAACUUUUGCCGAAAACACACAAUCUCUAUCCGGAUAUCUAAAGGAGGGUUGAGGAAAAAAAAGAUCUUCUCCAGGGAUUCCCUCCUUCAACUGGACGACAAGGAAAUAUUUAUCUACAAUUUUACCCUUCCGUUUUUUUUUGUUGCUUCUCUUGUCCAGUCAGCCUAACGUUAUCAACAUUUUCAGAAAGGCACAUUCAUCUUUUUCUGGGAAUGGAAUCCUUAACGGAUAAUUGAUUUCAAAUUUUGCAUUGAACUACGAAGCAGGGGGUGAAAACAACUUACCAGAUGAGUUGAGAUGUUGAACGAGCAUCUUCCGUAUAAGUAUAGAGAAAUGUUUUAUUGGUAAUUAAACUCGUUUACGUUUUCACAUUCAUAUUCACAAAUUCCACUUCAUUUCAGUUGAUUCUCUCUUUUUUUUUUUGGAAUUAUUUCUAGUCAACUCGGAAAGAGGACUCACAGAAGAAGAACAACACGUCCAAACUUGUUUUCGUCCAAUUGUCCAACUCAAACUGCGCAAGAUAAACAAACAAAACUUUCUGCCUAGAAAACGUUUCCCAGUUGAUUAACAGCAACUGUGUUCCAUCACGUGGAUGCUGGGCGACUGGUCCCGGUGUCACUUUCGAACCGCCAUCCCACGUCGUAUACACAAACGCACCUACCAUACUACAAGUUUGUUGUAGUACACACACACACAUCACACCGAAGUAGGAGGAGGAGGAUCCUUCACCACUCGCAUCGGAUCUAAAUGAUCUUGUGUGUCGGUCCAUUACGCCAGAGGAGGGGCUUCAAAUCGAUAGCUCCGCCUACUGCCUAGAGCCGAAUAUCGCUAUUGGACAGCGCUUGGAAAAGGGAGGUAACAAUACUCAAAGUGGGAGGAGCUUUGUGUUUGUGUUAAGAAGGGACCGUUACAGACCGUAGAAAACUUUGAUUUCUCUGGUUUACGUGACGAAAAGACUCUCUACUCUUAUUAUUGUAAUGCGCAAUUAUGGAUUUUGUUCGUUUUAGCAAUGAAUUGUAAAAAUUGGAUUCGAGCUGCUCGGCGAUCUCGGUUCGACGAAGGGAACGCACACCAUCAUUUGAAAUUUUUACCACUGAACCUUUAGAUACCUUGAUAGUCUUGAGGGGAAGCUAAAAAAGAAAAACAUCUGCCGAUGAACUAAAUGCGAAAUGUGUGUGACCGAUGUGUUUUUUUGGGGGGGACAGUUCGUUUGCGUGUACGUCCGUCCCCUUGUUUGGGUGUUGAGCGCGAGGGUCAAACAAGGUCAUUUUAGCACUGAUAUGGUGGAUUUCCUUUUGGGACUGCCACCACCACACCCAUCUCAAUAAUGUGCGAUAAAAAGAAAAUCCCUCCUCUACUGUU